GGGGAUGUAGCUCAGUGGUAUAGCGUCCGCUUUGCACGGGAAGGCCCGGGGUUAGAUCCUCCCCAUCUCCA
rnacentral:tRNA from 1 species